AUUACCGCGGCUGCUGGCACGGAGUUAGCCGGUGCUUCUUCUGCGGGUAACGUCAAUCGACAAGGUUAUUAACCUUAUCGCCUUCCUCCCCGCUGAAAGUACUUUACAACCCGAAGGCCUUCUUCAUACACGCGGCAUGGCUGCAUCAGGCUUGCGCCCAUUGUGCAAUAUUCCCCACUGCUGCCUCCCGUAGGAGUCUGGACCGUGUCUCAGUUCCAGUGUGGCUGGUCAUCCUCUCAGACCAGCUAGGGAUCGUCGCCUAGGUGAGCCAUUACCCCACCUACUAGCUAAUCCCAUCUGGGCACAUCCGACAGCGUGAGGCCCGAAGGUCCCCCACUUUGCUCUUUCGAGGUUAUGCGGUAUUAGCUACCGUUUCCAGUAGUUAUCCCCCUCUGUCGGGCAGUUUCCCAGACAUUACUCACCCGUCCGCCACUCGUCACCCAAGGAGCAAGCUCCUCUGUGCUACCGUUCGACUUGCAUGUGUUAGGCCUGCCGCCAGCGUUCAAUCUGAGCCAGGAUCAAACUCU
rnacentral:rRNA from 1 species